CUUAUUUUCUUUAUUUUUAUUUGACAGUAGUCCCAUUUUCGCUAAACAUAGCACAUACCGAACUGUACCGAAACCGUGACCCUAAAACCGUGAGCAAUUUGAACCGUUGCACCCCUGGUCAAAUUUGGUCAAAUUAGGAUGGACUAUCUUGUGUUUUGGUGUUACAGUCUAUUUCAUUAAUAAUAAAUAUUGUUUUGGUGAGUAUGUUUCUCGGAUCAUAAAAAGGUGUGCCCCCCUAUGAAAGCGAAAUGCCCCCCCAUUAACAUGAUGGCCCAUUGCUAUCAAUCACUGCUAUUUACAGUGGGCAGGGAAAUGAUUUUCAAAUGCUAAUUGUGUCAUCAGGCUGUUUGGUCAGGAUUGGUUGUCUGUUUUGGUGCUCUGAUCACUUAAAGCCAUCCACAGCAGAGAGAAUUCAUUACAUCUGUCUGCACUGACUGAAGUCUCUGAAUGAACUCUUUCUGGAAAAAUCAACAUUCAGAGAUAUUUGAACCUUGAAAUGGCUUCUGAGAGGUAAGUACAAUUGUAGUCUAAACAGUUUCCACAUAAACAGUCUGUUGUUAAGUGAGAGUUAAUUACAAAACAGCAUUAAUUUGCAUUUAAAGACAUUUGAAUUAAACACAGUAUUGGUAAUUGUGCUACACAUAAUAUAAUGAAAUAUUCAGUAUUGCAUGAUGCAUUGUUUCCAUAUUUAACCUGAUAAACAUUUUUUUAGCAGGUAAACUCCUCGACCUCAUGAGUCCCACUAUUUUUAUUGAAACCUUCAUCUUUGUCAGCUGUUUGAUGAUGCAUUUUACUUUCUCCUAAAGGGUUAUUUCACCAGAAGAGUGCUGGGCAAUCUUGCAGUCUGCUGAAGAUGACUUCUCAACAAUCAUGAUUGAUACUGGAUCAAUGACAAGAGAACAAGAGCAGCUGGUGGUGCAUUUCCUGGAGGCCAUGGUGAUGCUGCUGUACCUCCAGAAGUGGUGAAGAAUAUGACUGUUUCUGAUUGGAUGAAACCGGUUCUCGGUUCCUAACCCUAGAUGUGAUCACCCCAAAUGUGGAACAGCAUCAAGCCAGACUACAAUUUCGUACAAACAUCACAACAUUUGUAUAUCAAUCCAGAGUUGUAUUAAUUUUUGGCCGAGAUAGGAUAUCGACGAUGGGAAAGUGGAAUCGAUACUUUUGGCCUACGUCAGCCAUCUGAGAGCAAAGUGCACAGAUGGAUUGAGAAGCAGGGAUGGAUGGAGAACGUACCAGAUGCUGCUGAAGUUGUGAAGGACUGGAAGCCUCCACGAACCAUCCAGGCAGCAACAGACAGCAAAUACAUCCGACGGAUGAGCCGCAAGCAGUGCUGGAAAGGACUGCAGGUGAUGGACAUAGAAGGCAAGGGUCCCAGGGUCGCCACCACCAGGCCGUUUUUUGCGGUGAAGUGAUCUGUGACUACCACCGCCGGCUGAUCUCCAGGAAGGAGGGCCUGGAAAUCUACCAGAACAGUGAGGGAGAAGCUGGACAUUCAUUUUUCUUUACAGACAAAAACAGACAGCUCAUGUGUUUGGAUGCUCACGAGGAGCACUGCGAGUACCAUCCAAACAAAACUACGUUUGGAAGACAACUUAAACAUUCUGCCAAAUGGGCCAAUCUCAGUCCUAGACUAUACCCUGUGGAGGAUGAACCAGUCAUACUUUUCAGGACCACACUGAACAUUCAGAGAGGUGAAGAGAUCCGGUAUGACUAUGGAGACAACAAAAGGGCCUACGCUGGGGACGGUCUGGAUUUGAUGCCGUCCUAACUGAAGUUAGACAUUAUUUGGAUUAUGCAAAAGCUUUUUGUACAUUUUUUCAUUGUUUUUCCUUUUUUAUCUAGAAUACAUUGAAAUUACGAUGACACAUAAUUGUAUAAGGCAAUUACAUUAAAAAAAAAGUACUGAUAAAAGUAUUGGUCUUGUCUGUGGGAAAAACAGCAUGUUGGCAUUAAUAAGACAAAAUAAUCGCACAACAAACCUCGAAUUUUAAUUCUCAGCUAUUGCUCCAAAUGUAAAAUUGUUUAAAUAAAUGUUAAAAUUUCAAAUGUC